ACACAUGCAAGUCGAGGGGCAGCAUGAGGAGUCAGCAAUGACACCUUGAUGGCGACCGGCGCAAGGGUGCGUAACGCGUGAGCAACCUGCCCGUCACGGGGGGAUAACCGGUGGAAACGCCGACUAAUAUCCCAUGGUUUCCGUUGGGGGCAUCCCCGGCGGAAUAAAGGCUUCGGCCGGUGACGGAUGGGCUCGCGUGACAUUAGGCAGUAGGCGGGGUAACGGCCCACCUAACCUACGAUGUCUAGGGGUUCUGAGAGGAAGGUCCCCCACACUGGAACUGAGACACGGUCCAGACUCCUACGGGAGGCAGCAGUGAGGAAUAUUGGUCAAUGGGCGGAAGCCUGAACCAGCCAUGCCGCGUGACGGAAUACGGCCCUAUGGGUCUUAAACGUCUUUGGUCCCGGAGCAAUAAGAGCCACGCGUGGCUCGAUGAGAGUACGGGAAGAACAAGCAUCGGCUAACUCCGUGCCAGCAGCCGCGGUAAUACGGGGGAUGCGAGCGUUAUCCGGAUUUAUUGGGUUUAAAGGGUGCGUAGGCGGGGUGGUAAGUCAGCCGUGAAAUGUCCACGCUCAACGUGGAACGUGCGUUUGAUACUGCCGUCCUGGAGUGCGGAUGCCGUGGGAGG
rnacentral:rRNA from 1 species